CCUUCGAUAGCUCAGUUGGUAGAGCGGAGGACUGCAGAUCCUUAGGUCGCCGGUUCAAAUCUGGCUCGAAGGA
rnacentral:tRNA from 1 species